rnacentral:lncRNA from 1 species
GUACAAAUAAUUAUUUCUAAACUAACAAGAAAUCUAUCCCAAAAUAUUCAAAGAGAUAAAAAGAAAAAGAAAAGCACAGUGUAGAAUUACCAACGUUGCAAAUAAAAUAUUUCUAUAAGAACAAAAAAUCUACUCAAAAAAAAAUUGAUAAUCGGUAGAAUUGUGUCGAGUAAGAGGAUAACCCAUAAAACAAAACAAUAUGACUGAGGAAUAGAACAGAAAUGGAGAAAAAAGUAAAGAAGAACUAAUGGGAAUACGUUCGAAAAG